rnacentral:rRNA from 1 species
GACGAACGCUGGCGGCGUGCUUAACACAUGCAAGUCGAACGGAAAGGCCCUGCUUUUGUGGGGUGCUCGAGUGGCGAACGGGUGAGUAACACGUGAGUAACCUGCCCUUGACUUUGGGAUAACUUCAGGAAACUGGGGCUAAUACCGGAUAGGAGCUCCUGCUGCAUGGUGGGGGUUGGAACGUUUCGGCGGUUGGGGAUGGACUCGGGGCUUAUCAGCUUGUUGGUGGGGUAGUGGCUUACCAAGGCUUUGACGGGUAGCCGGCCUGAGAGGGUGACCGGCCACAUUGGGACUGAGAUACGGCCCAGACUCCUACGGGAGGCAGCAGUGGGGAAUAUUGCACAAUGGGCGGAAGCCUGAUGCAGCAACGCCGCGUGCGGGAUGACGGCCUUCGGGUUGUAAACCGCUUUCGCCUGUGACGAAGCGUGAGUGACGGUAAUGGGUAAAGAAGCACCGGCUAACUACGUG